AACUCCAAGUACUUUUACCAUCAGCCCCUGUUUCAGAGACAUGACAUAUUUGUCAGUUUUUGGAAACGUAUCUGUGAUGAAAUUAGAAUAAUCUUCUGCUAUGUUGCUGCAGAUCUCAGUGUGGAGCCAGGAGUUGUUUCUCUCAGAUCUUUGCGGUGCGUGAAAUCAGAAACGGCAGCAGAGACACGACGAGCUCAGCCCUGCUGCUGGAGGAGGAAAACGUCUCAGACAUGCAGAACCAAAAACAAGAAGAUUGUGCUGCCUCGAGGUCAGAACGGCGAGUGUGAAGACACAAACGGGUUUUGAAAAGACUCAGCACACCAGAAACAGGAAGAAUCAGAUUUACUUAAACCGAAAUCUGUUGUUCAGCCAACAUAAAACCAGUGAGACUGCGGUAUGGAGGGAUGGAUCUCUGACUCCCCCUUGCAGGACAACAACCUGCGGUGCAGCUCAGACUGUUUCUACUGAAGCAAGCUCUGUUAU